rnacentral:rRNA from 1 species
UGGCAGUCAGAGGCGAUGAAGGACGUGCUAAUCUGCGAUAAGCGUCGGUAAGGUGAUAUGAACCGUUAUAACCGGCGAUUUCCGAAUGGGGAAACCCAGUGUGAUUCGUCACACUAUCAUUAACUGAAUCCAUAGGUUAAUGAGGCGAACCGGGGGAACUGAAACAUCUAAGUACCCCGAGGAAAAGAAAUCAACCGAGAUUCCCCCAGUAGCGGCGAGCGAACGGGGAGCAGCCCAGAGCCUGAAUCAGUGUGUGUGUUAGUGGAAGCGUCUGGAAAGGCGUGCGAUACAGGGUGACAGCCCCGUACACAAAAAUGCACAUACUGUGAGCUCGAUGAGUAGGGCGGGACACGUGGUAUCCUGUCUGAAUAUGGGGGGACCAUCCUCCAAGGCUAAAUACUCCUGACUGACCGAUAGUGAACCAGUACCGUGAGGGAAAGGCGAAAAGAACCCCGGCGAGGGGAGUGAAAAAGAACCUGAAACCGUGUACGUACAAGCAGUGGGAGCACGCUUAGGCGUGUGACUGCGUACCUUUUGUAUAAUGGGUCAGCGACUUAUAUUCUGUAGCAAGGUUAACCGAAUAGGGGAGCCGAAGGGAAACCGAGUCUUAACUGGGCGUUAAGUUGCAGGGUAUAGACCCGAAACCCGGUGAUCUAGCCAUGGGCAGGUUGAAGGUUGGGUAACACUAACUGGAGGACCGAACCGACUAAUGUUGAAAAAUUAGCGGAUGACUUGUGGCUGGGGGUGAAAGGCCAAUCAAACCGGGAGAUAGCUGGUUCUCCCCGAAAGCUAUUUAGGUAGCGCCUCGUGAAUUCAUCUCCGGGGGUAGAGCACUGUUUCGGCAAGGGGGUCAUCCCGACUUACCAACCCGAUGCAAACUGCGAAUACCGGAGAAUGUUAUCACGGGAGACACACGGCGGGUGCUAACGUCCGUCGUGAAGAGGGAAACAACCCAGACCGCCAGCUAAGGUCCCAAAGUCAUGGUUAAGUGGGAAACGAUGUGGGAAGGCCCAGACAGCCAGGAUGUUGGCUUAGAAGCAGCCAUCAUUUAAAGAAAGCGUAAUAGCUCACUGGUCGAGUCGGCCUGCGCGGAAGAUGUAACGGGGCUAAACCAUGCACCGAAGCUGCGGCAGCGACGCUUAUGCGUUGUUGGGUAGGGGAGCGUUCUGUAAGCCUGUGAAGGUGUGCUGUGAGGUAUGCUGGAGGUAUCAGAAGUGCGAAUGCUGACAUAAGUAACGAUAAAGCGGGUGAAAAGCCCGCUCGCCGGAAGACCAAGGGUUCCUGUCCAACGUUAAUCGGGGCAGGGUGAGUCGACCCCUAAGGCGAGGCCGAAAGGCGUAGUCGAUGGGAAACAGGUUAAUAUUCCUGUACUUGGUGUUACUGCGAAGGGGGGACGGAGAAGGCUAUGUUGGCCGGGCGACGGUUGUCCCGGUU